AGGCUUGGUGCGCCGGGUAAAAUCAACGUCACUUAAAUUGUGGCAGCGUGCAUUGACACGUGGGAUCGUUGAGCCGGGAUGAGCUGAAACC
rnacentral:ncRNA from 1 species